UACAGAGGUGGCAAGCGUUGUUCGGAUUCACUGGGCGUAAAGGGUGCGUAGGUGGCGAGGUAAGUCGGAUGUGAAAUCUCCGAGCUCAACUCGGAAAUGGCAUUGGAAACUACCUUGCUAGAGGGUCGGAGGGGGGACUGGAAUGCUUGGUGUAGCAGUGAAAUGCGUAGAUAUCAAGCGGAACACCGGUGGCGAAGGCGGCAUCCAGGACCAACACUGACACUGAGGAGCGAAAGCCAGGGGAGCAAACGGG
rnacentral:rRNA from 1 species